ensembl:snRNA U6 U6 spliceosomal RNA
GUGCUCGCUACGGCAGCACAUAUACUAACAUUGGAUCGAUACAGAGAAGAUUAGCAUGGCCCUGCGAAAGGAUGACACACAAAUCCGUGAAGCGCUCCAUAUUUUU